GACGGAAGGUGCAAGCGUUGCUCGGAAUCACUGGGCGUAAAGGGUGCGUAGGCGGCCUCGUAAGUCUGACGUGAAAGCCCCGGGCUCAGCCCGGGAAGUGCGCUAGAAACUGUGAGGCUCGAGUGCCGGAGGGGAGAGUGGAAUUCCUGGUGUAGCGGUGAAAUGCGUAGAUAUCAGGAGGAAUACCGGUGGCGAAAGCGACUCUCUGGACGGCAACUGACGCUGAGGCACGAAAGCGUGGGGAGCAAACAGG
rnacentral:rRNA from 1 species